UACGUAGGGUGCAAGCGUUGUCCGGAAUUAUUGGGCGUAAAGAGCUCGUAGGCGGUCUGUCGCGUCGGAUGUGAAAAUCAGGGCUCAACCCUGGACCUGCAUUCGAUACGGGCAGACUAGAGUUCGGUAGGGGAGACUGGAAUUCCUGGUGUAGCGGUGGAAUGCGCAGAGUAUCAGGAGGAACACCGGUGGCGAAGGCGGGUCUCUGGGCCGAUACUGACGCUGAGGAGCGAAAGCGUGGGGAGCGAACAGG
rnacentral:rRNA from 1 species